rnacentral:rRNA from 1 species
AACGAACGCUGGCGGCAUGCCUAACACAUGCAAGUCGAACGAGACCUUCGGGUCUAGUGGCGCACGGGUGCGUAACGCGUGGGAACCUGCCCUUAGGUUCGGAAUAACUCCCCGAAAGGGGUCCUAAUACCGGUUAAUGUCUUCGGACCAAAGAUUUAUCGCCUUUGGAUGGGCCCGCGUUGGAUUAGCUAGUUGGUAGUGUAAAAGCCUACCAAGGCGAGGAUCCAUAGCUGGUCUGAGAGGAUGAUCAGCCACACUGGGACUGAGACACGGCCCAGACUCGUACGGGAGGGAGGAGAGGGGAAUAUUGGACAAGGGGCGAAAGCCUGAUAAAGCAAUGCCGGGGGAGUGAUGAAGGCCGUAGGGUUGUAAAGCUGUUUUAGCCGGGAUGAGAAUGACAGUACCGGGAGAAGAAGCACCGGCUAACUCCGUG